rnacentral:rRNA from 1 species
UACGUAGGGGGCGAGCGUUGUCCGGAUUCAUUGGGCGUAAAGCGCGCGUAGGCGGACCUGCAAGUCGGGGGUGAAAGCCCGAGGCUCAACCUCGGAACUGCCUUCGAUACUGCGGGUCUCGAGUCCGGGAGAGGUGAGUGGAAUUCCUAGUGUAGAGGUGAAAUUCGUAGAUAUUAGGAAGAACACCAGUGGCGAAGGCGGCUCACUGGCCCGGUACUGACGCUGAGGCGCGAAAGCGUGGGGAGCAAACAGG